rnacentral:rRNA from 1 species
GACGUAGGGCGCGAGCGUUGUCCGGAUUUAUUGGGCGUAAAGAGCGUGUAGGCGGCCUGACAGGUCUGCUGUGAAAACUCGAGGCUCGACCUCGAGAUGUCGGCGGAAACCGUCUGGCUAGAGUCCGGAAGAGGAGAGUGGAAUUCCUGGUGUAGCGGUGAAAUGCGUAGAUAUCAGGAGGAACACCGGUGGUGUAGACGGCUUUCUGGACCGUAACUGACGCUGAGACACGAAAGCGUGGGUAGCAAACAGG